rnacentral:hammerhead_ribozyme from 1 species
AUUUAGCGAGUCCCAAAUAGGACGAAACGCGAGUCCUGGAU